rnacentral:rRNA from 1 species
AUUGAACGCUGGCGGAAUGCUUUACACAUGCAAGUCGAGCGGCAGCGCGGGGGCAACCCUGGCGGCGAGCGGCGAACGGGUGAGUAACAUAUCGGAACGUACCCCGUCGUGGGGGAUAACACAGCGAAAGCUGUGCUAAUACCGCAUACGACCUGAGGGUGAAAGCGGGGGAUCGCAAGACCUCGCGCGAUGGGAGCGGCCGAUAUCGGAUUAGCUUGUUGGUGAGGUAAAGGCUCACCAAGGCGACGAUCCGUAGCUGGUCUGAGAGGACGACCAGCCACACUGGAACUGAGACACGGUCCAGACUCCUACGGGAGGCAGCAGUGGGGAAUUUUGGACAAUGGGGGCAACCCUGAUCCAGCCAUUCCGCGUGAGUGAAGAAGGCCUUCGGGUUGUAAAGCUCUUUCAGCAGGAACGAAACGGUGGCCACUAAUACUGGCUACUAAUGACGGUACCUGAAGAAGAAGCACCGGCUAACUCUGUGCCAGCCGCCGCGGUAACAC